UAAGGAAUAUUGCUCAAUGGGAGAAAUCCUGAAGCAGCAACGCCGCGUGGAGGAUGAAGGGUCUAUGACUUGUAAACUCCUGUAAAGAAGGAAAAAAUUCCCAUUAGAUGGGAGAUGAUGGUACUUCUGGAGUAAGCCCCGGCUAACUACGUGCCAGCAGCCGCGGUAAUACGGAGGGGGCAAGCGUUGUCCGGAUUUACUGGGUGUAAAGGGUGCUCAGGCGGAUUUGUAAGUCAGAGGUGAAAUCUUACAGCUUAACUGUGAAACUGCCUUUGAUACUGCAAGCCUAGAGUAUGGAAGAGAGUGAUGGAAUAUCUGGUGUAGCAGUGAAAUGCGUAGAUAUCAGAUAGAACACCAAUGGCGAAGGCAGUCACUUGGUCCAUUACUGACGCUAAAGCACGAAAGCGUGGGUAGCAAACA
rnacentral:rRNA from 1 species